UUCCGUGAGAGAUGAGAAGCAGAUGGUUUCGCGUGUGCCUAGCCAACCAACCAACCAACCAACCAACCAACCAACCAAACAACCAACCAACCAGCCAUCCAGCCAGUCUCUCUAAUUGUCGCGAGUUAUUAUCUAAUUAAUUCAUAAGCGUCAUCAUCGAGCAUACGAGAAGCAUCCGUGGCAUAUACAAGAAUCGUCGUUCGUUUUGCAGAGUGCUUCGCGUGAUCAAACCAGAAAAUUUUAGCGAACCGUUUGGGCCUUCGACCUUUUCGUAAAGAAAGAAAAAGAAAAUAAAAUAAAA
rnacentral:lncRNA from 1 species